CUCUGCUGGAGAAGACAAAUGGAGUCAGAAGUUCAGCCAGGCAGAUCACAGAGGCAAAGAAGGAUGCGUAUGAAUUUGAAUACACGUCUGAUCCUGCCACACGUGAGAUGGUCUCUGAAAUGAAGCAAAAAGUAUUUGUUCAGAAAGCUGCUUUACCCAGG